AUUUAAGUUUGACCUGCCCAAUGAGUAUUUAAAUGGCCGCGGUAAUUUGACCGUGCAAAGGUAGCAUAAUCAUUAGUUUUUUAAUUGGAAGCUGGAAUGAAUGGUUGGACGAGAAAAUGGCUGUCUUUAUUUAAUUUAUAUUAGAAUUUUAUUUUUAAGUUAAAAAGCUUAAAUAUUAUUAAAAGACGAGAAGACCCUAUAGAGUUUAAUAAUUUUUAUUAUUAUUAUUAUUUAGGUAGUUUUUUUAAUUUUAAUAUAAAGUUUAUUUGGUUGGGGUGAUUUAAAAAUUAAAGUAACUUUUUAUAACUUAUUUUACAUUGAUUUAUGUUUUAAUGAUCCAUUAUUUAUGAUUAUAAGAUUAAAUUACCUUAGGGAUAACAGCGUUAUUUUAUUUGAGAGUUCUUAUCGAAAAUAAAGUUUGCGACCUCGAUGUUGGAUUAAAAUAAACUUUUGGUGUAGGGGCUAUUUAGUUAAGUCUGUUCGACUUUUAAAAUUUUACAUGAUCUGAGUUUAAACCGGUGUGAGCCAGGUUGGUUUCUAUCUUUAAUUUGUAUUUAAAUAUUUUAGUACGAAAGGACCAAAUAUUAAUAAUAGUUAUUUUAUUUUGUUUAUUAUUA
rnacentral:rRNA from 1 species